UGGGGAAUAUUGCACAAUGGGGGAAACCCUGAUGCAGCGACGCCGCGUGAGUGAAGAAGUAUUUCGGUAUGUAAAGCUCUAUCAGCAGGGAAGAAAAUGACGGUACCUGACUAAGAAGCCCCGGCUAACUACGUGCCAGCAGCCGCGGUAAUACGUAGGGGGCAAGCGUUAUCCGGAUUUACUGGGUGUAAAGGGAGCGUAGACGGAGCAGCAAGUCUGAUGUGAAAACCCGGGGCUCAACCCCGGGACUGCAUUGGAAACUGUUGAUCUGGAGUGCCGGAGAGGUAAGCGGAAUUCCUAGUGUAGCGGUGAAAUGCGUAGAUAUUAGGAGGAACACCAGUGGCGAAGGCGGCUUACUGGACGGCAACUGACGUUGAGGCUCGAAAGCGUGGGGAGCAAACAGGAUUAGAUACCCUGGUAGUCCACACCGUAAACGAUGAUUACUAGGUGUUGGGAGAUUGACCCUCUCAGUGCCGCAGUUAACACAAUAAGUAAUCCACCUGGGGAGUACGACCGCAAGGUUGAAACUCAAAGGAAUUGACGGGGGCCCGCACAAGCAGUGGAGUAUGUGGUUUAAUUCGACGCAACGCGAAGAACCUUACCAAGUCUUGACAUCCCUUGACAGGCAUAGAAAUAUGUUUUCUCUUCGGAGCAAGGAGACAGGUGGUGCAUGGUUGUCGUCAGCUCGUGUCGUGAGAUGUUGGGUUAAGUCCCGCAACGAGCGCAACCCCUAUCCUUAGUAGCCAGCAGUAAGAUGGGCACUCUAGGGAGACUGCCAGGGAUAACCUGGAGGAAGGUGGGGAUGACGUCAAAUCAUCAUGCCCCUUAUGACUUGGGCUACACACGUGCUACAAUGGCGUAAACAAAGUGAAGCGAGAGUGUGAGCUUAAGCAAAUCACAAAAAUAACGUCUCAGUUCGGAUUGUAGUCUGCAACUCGACUACAUGAAGCUGGAAUCGCUAGUAAUCGCAGAUCAGAAUGCUGCGGUGAAUACGUUCCC
rnacentral:rRNA from 1 species